rnacentral:snRNA from 14 species
CUGGAGCAGGUGGGUGAGCGGCAGAAUAAUGUUUAACUCGAAGUUCCCCAAAUGGUCGAAGACAAUGACCUUCCCCGCUAGAGGAAGAUCGUUCUUUGGUCAAGGGUAUCGAAGAAGCUGAGCUCCCCUGCCAGAACUUCCAAACAAGCUCUCAAGGUCCAUUUGUAGAAGAAUGUAAGGUCGUCAAGCUUCCAAGACUCCAGACACGUCCGAUGAGGUGCUGCAUGUAGCAGUCUGCUUUCCUU